UGGGGAAUCUUGGACAAUGGGGGCAACCCUGAUCCAGCCAUGCCGCGUGAGUGAUGAAGGCCUUAGGGUCGUAAAGCUCUUUCGCCUGUGAAGAUAAUGACGGUAGCAGGUAAAGAAACCCCGGCUAACUCCGUGCCAGCAGCCGCGGUAAUACGGAGGGGGUUAGCGUUGUUCGGAAUUACUGGGCGUAAAGCGCACGUAGGCGGACCAGAAAGUUGGGGGUGAAAUCCCGGGGGCUCAACCCCGGAACUGCCUCCAAAACUAUUGGUCUAGAGUUCGAGAGAGGUGAGUGGAAUUCCAAGUGUAGAGGUGAAAUUCGUAGAUAUUUGGAGGAACACCAGUGGCGAAGGCGGCUCACUGGCUCGAUACUGACGCUGAGGUGCGAAAGUGUGGGGAGCAAACAGGAUUAGAUACCCUGGUAGUCCACACCGUAAAACGAUGAAUGCCAGUCGUCGGGUAGCAUGCUAUUCGGUGACACACCUA
rnacentral:rRNA from 1 species